GUUUUUAGCAGAACAUGUGAUCGCCCUCAGAGGAAAGCUCACCUCUAAGGUACCGCUGAGCGAAGACGACAUCAACGAGCUGUUUCAUGUGGUGCUGAUGAAAAUGGGACUUCCUCCGAGCAUCAAGGUGGGCUUGGUGAAAGUUCAGAAUGUCGAGGAGCCAACUGGGAGAAAAACGACGGACCAGCAAAGAAAAGAGGAAGAAAGAGUGUGAUUUCUUCUGUUUAACGGUAAAAUCCUGAAAAGGAUGCUGGACUGUCUGGUUUUUCUGCUUUGGGCACACUAAUAGUUGGAGUAAAUUGCAUUUCUUCCCAUCUGUAAGACAAGUUUUUCAUGUGAUUUUGAUGAUGUAAGUUUCAGCUGCUGAUCUGAGGACUGUUUUUUUUCCUUUAGCAUUGAACAAUUCUAUUGGCUAGUUCAACAUUUUGGAAUAAAAACAGUGUUUAACAGGAAUUUUUAUGUACACCUGGAUGACAAAUAUUGAAAGUAGAAUGCAAUUAGCACACUUUACAUCCUUUUUGUUUAACCUUUACCAAAAUCAAAAUGUUGAGAAACCAGCGAGCAGGUUUUAUGGAGGGUUGUAUGGCAAGUUCGCAGUUGCCAGGAAAUCGGUCCACGAAGGAGAUGGUCCUGGCUGAGAAAUCCUGGAAGAAGACAUAUUUACACUUAGGUCUUGUUGAGAUUGAAAUAGAACAUGUUCAGGGCCGUAUUCAAAACAUAUUUUGAAGGUACACAUCUCAUCCAAAUGUGCUUAAAAUAUCUCUCUCCCUCCAUCCAAUGCAUUAUGCACCUGUUGCUACUUACUCUGGCUGGACGGAGCCUACAAUCAGCUGACCAGUGUCCCAGGUUAUGUUGUCCAGCCUGCUGAGCUCGAGCUUCCUCUCUCACAUCCAGCCACCCAUGUGCUUGUUCUUGUCUUCGUUUCUUUGUUUAUAAAUGGUCUUUAGAUACAGAA